UUGGAAUCAGGGGCUGCCCAUAUAACCAGAGCAGUUGGGCUGCUAGAGAUCAGGCUACCUGCCUGGCUGUAGGACUGCUGGUAUCACCUGGAGGUGGCUACAGGGAUAUAAACAUCUUCCUUCCCUCCUCGCCAUCAUGGGAAAAGGAAGAUGAAGAAAAGUUUGAAGAGGCUGUCUCACUAAAACCUGCAGAACAAGAACAGUACCAGAUACAAAACAUACCAGACAAGUGCAGGACAAAGCCCGUCAAACAAUGGCAGCACAGCACCAUCUAUGUAAUUUCACGUUUCUUUGAGAGCUCCAAGUUACUGCAGCUAGGACUGCUGUAGUGGAAGAUACACCUCAGAUGGCUCUGAGGCAAGGCAGCAAGCAGUGCAGAAUUGGGGCACACCUAUUACUGGCCUUCCUACACUCUCAAAACUCCAUUACUUUAAAAGGACGGACAGUCUCAUAGGCACAGAGAUAAACACACGGAAGAUGGAAGAAGUCAGAAUGUACAAGCCGAGUCUGCAUACAUUAUAUAACGAUUGCAAAAUUCUACAGAAGUCAAAGGAAGACUCUCCAGACCCCUGGAGCAGGGGCAGAUUCCUCCCUGCCCUGCACCCUUUUGAUUCCUGCUCCACUCAGUUUUGACAAUAAACUGCCCAGCAAGGAUAGCCACAUUUCUAUUCAAGCAGAGCUGAGGGAGUCAAUUGACUUCAUGGUUCAUUAUCAUCUACUUGAGUCCUACUAAUCUCCUUAUUCCAUAGGUCAGUG